rnacentral:tRNA from 1 species
GCCUGCAUAGCUCAGUGGUAGAGCAACUCACUUGUAAUGAGUAGGUCGGGAGUUCAACUCUCUCUGCAGGCU